rnacentral:rRNA from 1 species
GAUGAACGCUGGCGGCGUUCCUAAUACAUGCAAGUCGAGCGAACAGACGAGGAGCUUGCUCCUCUGACGUUAGCGGCGGACGGGUGAGUAACACGUGGAUAACCUACCUAUAAGACUGGGAUAACUUCGGGAAACCGGAACUAAUACCGGAUAAUAUAUUGAACCGCAUGGUUCAAUAGUGAAAGACGGUUUUGCUGUCACUUAUAGAUGGAUCCGCGCCGCAUUAGCUAGUUGGUAAGGUAACGGCUUACCAAGGCAACGAUGCGUAGCCGACCUGAGAGGGUGAUCGGCCACACUGGAACUGAGACACGGUCCAGACUCCUACGGGAGGCAGCAGUAGGGAAUCUUCCGCAAUGGGCGAAAGCCUGACGGAGCAACGCCGCGUGAGUGAUGAAGGUCUUCGGAUCGUAAAACUCUGUUAUUAGGGAAGAACAAAUGUGUAAGUAACUAUGCACGUCUUGACGGUACCUAAUCAGAAAGCCACGGCUAACUACGUG